rnacentral:rRNA from 1 species
AUUGAACGCUGGCGGCAUGCCUUACACAUGCAAGUCGAACGGCAGCACGGGAGCAAUCCUGGUGGCGAGUGGCGAACGGGUGAGUAAAGUAUCGGAACGUGCCCAGUCGUGGGGGAUAACGUAGCGAAAGUUACGCUAAUACCGCAUACGAUCUACGGAUGAAAGCGGGGGAUCGCAAGACCUCGCGCGAUUGGAGCGGCUGAUAUCAGAUUAGGUAGUUGGGGGGGUAAAGGCUCACCAAGCCGACGAUCUGUAGCUGGUCUGAGAGGACGACCAGACACACUGGGACUGAGACACGGCCCAGACUCCUACGGGAGGCAGCAGUGGGGAAUUUUGGACAAUGGGCGCAAGCCUGAUCCAGCCAUGCCGCGUGCAGGAUGAAGGCCUUCGGGUUGUAAACUGCUUUUGUACGGAACGAAAAGGUUUGGCCUAAUAAGCUGGACCCAUGACGGUACCGUAAGAAUAAGCACCGGCUAACUACGUGCCAGCCGCCGCCGUAAAAC